rnacentral:lncRNA from 10 species
AGUCCUCAUCUGCAGUGAUGACAGUAGUAGGUGGAACAUGCCUGUCCUUGGGCAACAGGGCAGUGCACGUGCCAGCACCAAGUGGUUCCAGAAGUUUACGAAGACAAAAGAGGAAUGACGACUCAGCAUAUUGUAAUUAUCCAGUUGAUAUUUAUCUUGUUCCAGUCACCUUUAGAAAGCUGUUUGGUGAGUACAAUGUUAAUAUAGAGACAAUCAGAAUGGUGUGUGCUUUUGUACAAAACUUGUGGAUCCAUCAAUGAGGCAUCUGCCAUUUUUUCUUUCUUCCCCUCUAUAUUACAAGUUCUGGAAUGCCUGUUCUAAUUCUCCAAGGAGAAUUAGAAAAUAAAAGGCAGAGUCUAGAGCCAUGUCAAUAUCCUCCCACAGAAUGUGUAUGGAGAAUAUUCCACUGGGAACCAUGAUAGAUAAAAACUUACCAGGAAGAGCAAAACAUCAAGAGAGUCUGACAAAAGCUCUGCCCUCCUCUGUAACCCAGCAGCCUCUGCAGAAUCAUCCUUUCUUCAUUGUUUUAAAAUGUUGUUAAAUAC